GUUGAAAUUAUUGUAUUUUAUGUAGGAAUAUUCUCCCUGAAUAUUCCUACAUAAAAUACGUGUGUAUAAUGACUCUUGCUCGUAAAAUCAACAGUCUUAUUUUACACUGAAAUGUCAGAAUUUGGGUAAAUCACAAUUAGUGGCGUUGUCCGUACCAUUUACUAGCCUAUAGAUAUAUUGGGAGAAUCCUUACAGUUUUGGAGAUAUAAAUAUAGAGUAACUGUCCUGUUUUUUAAGUCUUCCUUGUAGUAUUGUAUAAUUUUGACCAUACUGUACAUGACAUGUAUUGCCAAAAUUAUAUGAUAAUUUGAUUACAUGUGCUAAUCAUACUUCAGCAUUAUUUAAAUUGUG
rnacentral:lncRNA from 1 species